GAUGUUUACCACACCCACCGCGUUUUCACAAAAUUACACUAUUCACCUGGUACUUAAGUCUUGUUAGAGACUUAAAGGUUUUGCAUGGGUUCCAAAUACUGGUUUAUGGUACAGUUUUUGGAACUACUUGUGGGACUACAUUUUGGUGUGGUGUUGUGGGGUAGUGGAGUUAGUUUGACAUGAAGUUUUGCAUUGGACAGAUCUGCUGUGAAGCAUUCUUUGUUAAAAUGAAUCCAUGGUUGGAAUACCUGCUUUUCACUUGAGCUUUUUGUUCCUUAAUCCUUCUGUGCCCUUUUUUUUUUUUUUUUUCUUUUCUUUUUUUAUUUUUGGACGAUGAGUGCCAGUUCUCCGGCACAUUCACUGGGCCCAACAGUGAAAUUGAAAAGUUGGGAAAUGCCUCAACGCCACAUACAAUAAUUGACAAUUAGUCUAAUUUUACUAUUUCUGCUUUUAGAUCCCCAAGAAGGAGAAGCUUUUCGCGAAGCCGGAGCAGGUAAAUGUUUUGGUGCCCUGUUCUUAGAAAUGGAAGCUUAACUCUCUGGCUAGUAAUUACAGUGACAAGGGUACCAUACAGUCAGCACUAAGUUAGACUGAGCUAGACUUUCUUCGAGGUGAAUUUCUGAUAAACUAAUGUAUCUUCUGUUUGCUUUAGGUCUCUUUCUAGAGAUAGGAGAAGAGAAAGGUCUCUGUCUCGUGAGAGAAAUCACAAGCCGUCUCGAUCCUUCUCUAGGUCUCGUAGCCGAUCUAGGUCAAAUGAAAGGAAAUAGAAGACCAGUUGGCAAAAGUGGUGUACAG
rnacentral:lncRNA from 1 species